AUGCAGCUCGGUCGCUGCCCCCUGUGCAGCUCGGUCGCGGCUCCCGUGCAGCUCGGUUGCGUCUGUCUCUCCUUUUCCCUCACAUGCCGAUUGGGGGAGCGAGGAGCGGCGGCGGAGGAGCGUUCUCAUGGCAAGGGGAGGUGCGGGCGCACGGGGCUCCACCGGCGGCAUCUGCAGUUCACUCCAUGCAAGAUGAGCUCGGAAAUGCUCGCGAUGCCGUUCAGAGCUUGUGCCCGUGCAGUACGGCGAGCGCCAUCUCUUCCCAUUGGUCGGUGGACCAUGGCCAUGCAGCUCGGAGAUGCUCUCCAUGUGGUUCUGGACUUGUGUGUGUGCAGUCGGGAGAGCGCCAUCUCCAUCUCUUCCCGUGUGGGGUUCUGGAGGUACCUUCUGAAGAAGAACCUUGAUGCCCGGUGGCUGCAAGGGUUCCCUUGCGCCGUGUUUGCGAUCGGCGAUUCAGGCUACCAGGGGUUGCUACAAAGAAGCUCCGUACAAGGCUUUCACAGCUUGGUGCAAAAUCGAUCAGUGAUUGGAUUGGGAGAUGACCAAGACUCUUCAGGAUAUGAAAAAGCUCUAGGUCCUUGGCUGCUGUCUUUCUGGAAAUCACUGAAUCGAACAAAUCCGUCGCUUUUACCAAGAAUUCAGGCUCGUCCGCGGGCACUCAGACAAGCGUCCAAGCACUCCUAUGAGUGUCCGUGCACAUCAGCGCCUCUACCACAAACAUUCAGAAAAAAGAGGAUUCCCCUAGUGUGGAAAAUGGAUAGCUCUAGAAUCUACUCCUCACAAUGGUUAUAUGCUGCUUUCAACUUCUCUGUGUAG
rnacentral:rRNA from 1 species